CCCCUUUGUGCUCCUUUACCUUUGUGCUCCUUGAUGUCCCUUUCUGCUCCUUCUUCUACUUUACCUUUGUGUUCCUUCUGAUUCUUUCUGCUCCUUUACCUUCCUGCUCCUCGCAGGCCCUUCCUGCUCAUUCUCCUACUUUACGUUUGUGCUCCUUGUGCCCCUUCCAGCUCAUUUCUGACCCUUUCUGCUCCUUCCACUUUACCUUUGUGCUGCUUUACCUUCCAGCUCCUUGCUGACCCUUCCUGUUCAUUUCUGUUCCUUUGUGCUCCUUCUCCUACUUUACCUUUUGUGCUCCUUGCUGCCACUUUAUGCUACUUGAUGUCCCUUCCUGCUCAUUUCUUUUCCUUCUCCUUUCUGCUCCUUCUCUUACUUUACCUUCCUGCUCCUUGCUGACUCUUCAUGUAGAUUGUCUCCCCCAUCCCUCACUUCCAUAGGCGUGCGCACGGGGUGUGUCGGGUGUGCCUGGGCACAUUCUAAUCCCCGCGGCAUGCCAAUGGAUUAAGACUGGCAGGGGAUAUCUCUGGAUCUCCCCGGUCGGCUCAUGCAGAGCCGGCGCUAUCUGAG